rnacentral:misc_RNA from 1 species
UCUCCGUAGGUGAACCUGCGGAGGGAUCAUUACAGAGUUCUCGCCCUCGCGGGUAGAUCUCCCACCCACUGUUAUCGUUACUGUGUUGCUUUGGCGGGCCGCCGGGCCCCGCUCGGCCGCCGGCUCCGGCUGGCGCGCGCCCGCCAGAGGCCCAGCAAACCCUGAAUGUUAGUGUCGUCUGAGUACUAUAUAAUAGUUAAAACUUUCAACAACGGAUCUCUUGGUUCUG